GGGGUUGUAGCUUAGUGGUAGAGCGCUCACCUAGCUCGUGUGAGGUACUGGGUUUGAUCCUCAGCACCGCA
rnacentral:tRNA from 1 species